GGCUGGUCCUAGUGCAGUGGUGUUUGCAACUAAUUGAUCACAUCCAGUUACAGAUUUCUUUCUUUUUUUUCUUUCCCUCUCCACUCACACUGCUUCACUUGACCAGCCUUAA
rnacentral:Y_RNA from 1 species